rnacentral:rRNA from 1 species
GUGGAGAACACUAAGGUGAGCGAGUGAACUAUUGUUAAGGAACUCUGCAAAAUGAGUCCGUAACUUCGGAAGAAGGACUGCUGGUUUUAUACCAGCCGCAGCAAAUAGGCCCAAACAACUGUUUAUCAAAAACACAGGUUUCUGCAAAAUCGUAAGAUGAAGUAUAGGGGCUGACGCCUGCCCAGUGCUGGAAGGUUAAAAGGAGGACUUAGCUUCGGCGAAGGUCUUAAUUGAAGCCCCAGUGAACGGCGGCCGUAACUAUAACGGUCCUAAGGUAGCGAAAUUCCUUGUCGGGUAAGUUCCGACCCGCAUGAAAGGCGUAAUGAUUUGGGCGCUGUCUCAACAAUAGACUCGGUGAAAUUUAAAUUCCAGUGAAGAUGCUGGGUACCCGCGACAGGACGGAAAGACCCCGUGGAGCUUUACUGUAGCUUGAUAUUGAAUGUUUGUGCUGCAUGUGCAGGAUAGGUAGGAGACUUUGAAGUCGGAACGCUAGUUUCGAUUGAGUCACCCUUGAGAUACUACCUCUGUUGUAUGAACGUUCUAACUCUGAUCAGUUAUCCUGAUCGAAGACAGUGUCUGGCAGGCAGUUUGACUGGGGCGGUCGCCUCCUAAAAGAUAACGGAGGCGCUCAAAGGUUUGCUCAGAAUGGUUGGAAAUCAUUCGUAGCGUGUAAAGGCAUAAGCAAGCUUGACUGUGAGACUGACAAGUCGAGCAGGUACGAAAGUAGGACUUAGUGAUCCGGUGGUUCCGUAUGGAAGGGCCAUCGCUCAACGGACAAAAGCUACCCCGGGGAUAACAGGCUCAUCUCCCCCAAGAGUCCACAUCGACGGGGAGGUUUGGCACCUCGAUGUCGGCUCAUCGCAUCCUGGGGCUGUAGUCGGUCCCAAGGGUUGGGCUGUUCGCCCAUUAAAGCGGUACGCGAGCUGGGUUCAGAACGUCGUGAGACAGUUCGGUCCCUAUCCGUCGUGGGCGCAGGAAAUUUGAGAGGAUCUGUCCUUAGUACGAGAGGACCGGGAUGGACAUACCUCUGGUGUACCAGUUGUUCUGCCAAGAGCACCGCUGGGUAGCUACGUAUGGAUUAGAUAAUCGCUGAAAGCAUCUAAGUGAGAAACUAACCUCGAGAUGAGAUUUCCCAUUCGUCAGAAGUAAGACCCCUGAGAGACGAUCAGGUAGAUAGGCUAGAAGUGGAAGUGUAGUGAUGCAUGGAGCGGACUAGUACUAAUAGGUCGAGGACUUAACCAAG